CCUACGGGAUGCAGCAGUGAGGAAUAUUGGUCAAUGGUCGGGAGACUGAACCAGCCAAGCCGCGUGAGGGAUGAAGGUACAGAGUAUCGUAAACCUCUUUUGUCAGGGAACAAAGGCGGUGACGUGUCCCCGGAUGAGUGUACCUGAAGAAAAAGCAUCGGCUAACUCCGUGCCAGCAGCCGCGGUAAAACGGAGGAUGCGAGCGUUAUCCGGAUUUAUUGGGGUUAAAGGGUGCGCAGGCGGUCUGUUAAGUCAGCGGUCAAAGCCCGGGGCUCAACCCCGGCCCGCCGUUGAAACUGGCAGUCGCGAGUUGGAGAGAGGUAUGUGGAAGGCGCGGUGUAGCGGGGAAAUGCAGAGAGAUCGCGCAGAAUGCCGAUUGCGAAGGCAGCAGGCCGGCUCCACACUGACGCUGAGGUACGAAAGCGUGGGUAUCGAACAGGAUUAGAUACCCUUGUAGUC
rnacentral:rRNA from 1 species